GAGAUAAUAGUGAAGAAAAUUUACUGAUUAAUUGAUUGCCUAAGCUUCUUUGCAUAGUUUGUUAGAUACAAAUUGUUAGUCUCAUGAUUAGUUGAGAUGUUCUCUUUUGAAUAUGUGUGCAGUGGUUGACUUCUAGAAAUUCUUUAGAUGCAAUAAGCUCUUGAUUGAAAAAAAUCAUUUAUAGUUAGUCUAAAAUAUAUGUCCAUGUCUUUUAUUUUAGUUGACAUAGUACUGUUUUAUCCUUGUUAAUGGCUGAUUUCAUGCCUUAUUUUGAUUGAGCAAUGAUGAUGAUGGCCUUAUUAUGCUAAUUUUUAUAUUGCUACUGAUUGCCAUUUUCGCUUGCUGCCGUUUGAUUUUAGUGCUGAUUAGUGCUGAUUUGAUUCUAGUGAGUUCAUAUGGGUUGAUUUUGCUGUUUGUUUAAAUUCAGAAAUGUCCUAUUUACUGCUAGAAUGCUGCCGAAAUUUCUAAAAAUUUGUGUUAAUUGAAUUCCAAUUUGUGAAUUGAAUUUGGUAAUUUGUUACUUUAGUUUUGUUUCAUGACCAAAUUCAACUCAAUAGGUUACUUUAAUUUGUUCUUUUUUUUUCAAUUAAAUAUCUUAUAAAUUAAAUCAAUAAUAGGGAUGGUAUAUAAUUAGUAUCUUUGUAUAGAGACAAUAGUGAAGAAAACACCUCCUUCUUUCCCUUUCUCCUCUUUUCUUCUUCUUCCAUUUUUGCCCUCCCCUGUCUUCGGAAACAGAACAAAAACGCCACUGUUCCCCUGUUUCUGCGCUCAUCCUCCACCGUGCGCCACCAGUAGCCGCCUCUGGGUCGACACUGCUCUGCCUCCAUUCUCCCUCCUCUUGCCAUUUUCUGUUUCUGCUUCUUCUGCAGGAAAACUAUGUUGAAGGGGAAAUCGAACUUCAUUAAGGUCAAACUUUUAAGAGCAAAUGUUACAGAGUAAAAGUCAUGAACUUGUGGAUCGGACAUGAUGAUAAAUCUAUUUGCUACUUAGCUAGUUCAACUCUUCUUUGUUAUAUUUUUUGCAGCAUUAGAUGAUAUAGUUCGAGGUUGUCAUGAUAGUAUAUAUAUUGUGGUAUUUUGAAUGUGAUUGUGGAUCUUACAACAAUUUUUAUAAGUCAAAUUUGAUGGAAAAUGUUCAAUUAUUUUUCUUUA